GCACAGCUUCCUGCUUUAUCUGGGCCCACAUAUAGCCUCAGUUACAUUAGCUGCUUAUGAAUGCAAUUCGGUUAAUUUCCCUGAGCCACCCUAUCCUGACCAGAUUAUCUGCCCAGAAGAAGGCACUGAAGGAGUCAUAUCUUUGUGGAGUAUCAUCUCAAAAGUUAGAAUUGAAGCCUGCAUGUGGGGCACUGGGACAGCCAUUGGGGAGCUGCCUCUGUAUUUCAUGACCAGGGCAGCUCGCCUCUCAGGUGCUGAACCAGAUGAUGAAGAGUAUCAGGAAUUUGAAGAAAUGCUGGAACACGCAGAGACUGCACAAGACUUUGCAUCACGAGCUAAACUGGCAGUUCAAAAACUAGUACAGAAAGUUGGAUUUUUUGGAAUUUUGGC
rnacentral:lncRNA from 1 species